GUCGUGGCUCAGUGGUAGAGCCAUCUGCCUUGCAUGCAGAAGCUCCCAGGUUCAUUCCCCAGCAUCUCCA